AUGACAGCUCUUCGGAGAAGGCACGUGGUUUCUUGGAGAGUUUGGGCCGCAACUCCGACGAGAUUCUUCAAGAGAAACCGUGUCAAAGCUUGGAGUUUUGGAAGAGAGCAAAAUCAUCAUCCAAAGGUCUUGAAGCUUAAUUCUAAUGGAAGUCUUGAAUUUCAUGUGACAUUGGUGAAAAUCUUGAAUACUUGUAUGUGUUCAAGUUCAUUUGAAAUUCAAGCUAAGGAAUUGUAG